AUGCUGUGGCGGUGCGUGGGACCUCCUAGUGGACGCGUGUGUAUCUCAGGCAAGGCGGCUAGGCAUUUACGAUGUGCUGGAUUAGAUCAAUUCUCCAUCGUCCAUCCAGAUACGUGCAAACAGCGGCACAACACUAUCGCCUUCUCCCCAAAAAACAACAGCAUAGCACAGUCCUCUUCUCCCCCAGAUCCAGUCGCGCCCGAGCGCCUCCUCGUGCCCUUGUCGAGGAAGCAGGCAACCUUCGAGGCGCCCCUCUCCCACAGCUCGAACCCGAGUAGCUCGAGCCAGUCAUCCCCGCCGGCGAUCUGCAACAACAGUAGCAGGACCCCGCCGAACUCAAACAACAACAAUGGCGCCGCCACCAUGGAGCCCAGAACUCCGCCAUCACACUCGCAUCAAGUCGCCCGAACCUACACACCGACGCCCUCCGCUGCGACCCAGCAUGCCCGCGUCAGCAGGAGGAUCUCCGACACUGGCCUCGACCGCCUCCCUCUAUUCGAUAACCCCGAUUCAGACCGCCCAGAAGCCUCCAAUCCAUCAGAAGCAAUCGCUGCUUUAGGCCAACUCCACUGCACGACCCCAAACGGACGUCUGUUUUGUCUGGAUUCUGUCCGUUUGGGUAGGGAUUUGGGGUCGUGUCCGGACGUGUCCUGGGAUGCGGUGGGCAUGUGCCCAGCGCGCGGACGCAUCCCGACCGUAUCCUGUCCGCGUAUUUUUCUUUGCAAGUCCUUAACUUUUUUUUAUCAUUCAUUUUUGGUACAUGACAAUACAUCAUCACAUUUUGACUAG
rnacentral:rRNA from 1 species